UACGGUGGGACUGGCGUUAUUUCUAUUAAACAUGGCAUUAAGCGUGAUUAGGCCGCAUUUGCUAGAGUGAUUAUAGGGAGAGUUUGGGUAAUACCUAAUGGAAGGAUGAAAUCUUUAGAGAUUAGUUGGAACAUCUAAAGCGACAGCACCACUCUACUUUAUCACUGACGCUGAUUCACUAAAGUGUGGGGAGCAAACCAG
rnacentral:rRNA from 1 species